ACGAACGCUGGCGGCGCGCCUAACACAUGCAAGUCGGACGCACUCGUAAGAGUGAGUGGCGGACGGGUGAGUAACACGUGGGAACCUGCCUUGGGGUCUGGGAUAGCUGCGGGAAACUGCAGGUAACACCGGAUACGCACGAGAGUGGAAAGUUUACGCCCUGGGAUGGGCCCGCGUCGGAUUAGGUAGUUGGUGGGGUAAUGGCCUACCAAGCCUUCGAUCCGUAACCGGUCUGAGAGGAUGAUCGGUCACACUGGGACUGAGACACGGCCCAGACUCCUACGGGAGGCAGCAGUGGGGAAUCUUGGACAAUGGGGGGAACCCUGAUCCAGCGACGCCGCGUGGGUGAUGAAGGCCUUCGGGUCGUAAAGCCCUUUUGCCGGGGAAGAUGAUGACGGUACCCGGAGAAGAAGCACCGGCUAACUCUGU
rnacentral:rRNA from 1 species